rnacentral:rRNA from 1 species
AUUGAACGCUGGCGGCAUGCCUUACACAUGCAAGUCGAACGGCAGCACGGGUGCUUGCACCUGGUGGCGAGUGGCGAACGGGUGAGUAAUACAUCGGAACAUGUCCUGUAGUGGGGGAUAGCCCGGCGAAAGCCGGAUUAAUACCGCAUACGAUCUACGGAUGAAAGCGGGGGACCUUCGGGCCUCGCGCUAUAGGGUUGGCCGGUGGCUGAUUAGCUAGUUGGUGGGGUAAAGGCCUACCAAGGCGACGAUCAGUAGCUGGUCUGAGAGGACGACCAGCCACACUGGAACUGAGACACGGCCCAGACUCCUACGGGAGGCAGCAGUGGGGAAUUUUGGGCAAUGGGCGAAAGCCUGAUCCAGCAAUGCCGCGUGUGUGAAGAAGGCCUUCGGGUUGUAAAGCACUUUUGUCCGGAAAGAAAUCCUUGGCCCUAAUACGGGCGGGGGAUGACGGUACCGGAAGAAUAAGCACCGGCUAACUACGUG